UACAGAGGGGGCAAGCGUUAUUCGGAAUUACUGGGCGUAAAGGGCGCGCAGGCGGCUCAUUUUGUCAGGCGUGAAAGCCCCGGGCUUAACCUGGGAACUGCGUUUGAUACGGAUGGGCUAGAGUUCGGGAGAGGAGAGUGGAAUUCCCAGUGUAGAGGUGAAAUUCGUAGAUAUUGGGAAGAACACCGGUGGCGAAGGCGGCUCUCUGGACCGAGACUGACGCUGAGGCGCGAAAGCGUGGGGAGCAAACAGG
rnacentral:rRNA from 1 species